CCUACGGGGGACAGCAGUGGGGAAUAUUGGGCAAUGGGCGCAAGCCUGACCCAGCAACGCCGCGUGAAGGAAGAAGGCUUUCGGGUUGUAAACUUCUUUUGUCAGGGACGAAGCAAGUGACGGUACAUGACGAAUAAGCCACGGCUAACUACGUGCCAGCAGCCGCGGUAAUACGUAGGGGGCACGCGUUAUCCGAAUUUACUGGGUGUAAGGGGCGUGUAGGCGGGGAGGCAAGUCAGAUGUGAAAACCCCGGCCUCAACCGGUGACCUGCAUGUGAAACUGGGUUUCUUGAGUGCUGGAGAGGCAAUCGGAAGUCCGGGUGUAGCGGUGAAAUGCGUAGAUAUACGGAGGAACACCAGUGGCGAAGGCGGAUUGCUGGACAGUAACUGACGCGGAGGCGCGAAAGCGUGGGGAGCAAACAGGAUUAGAUACCCCUGUAGUC
rnacentral:rRNA from 1 species